CCUUUUCUAUAUUUUGCAUGUGACAUCCUUUGUUUGCAUUUUAAGCAGUAGACCAUUAGACUAAUAUUUGCGUAGCAGGCAAAAAAAUACUAGAGCAUGCGUAAGAGAUCUUGUCUAGAGGAAGGUAAAAAAGGAAUUAGGCGGAUGUCACAAAUAUCUGGUGUUAGAGUCAUUUGGUGUUAGAACCAAAAAUAGAGUCUGUCGGUUGGUCGGCAAAUGAUAACUCAAAAAUUUGAAAAAUUGUACCCAACCAUCCAGCCAUUUUUCAACUAGUUCUCAGAACCCUUUUCGCAUUUUAAAGCGAAGCACAACAAUAAUAAUGGGUAAUGGCUGUGGGGAGACAACAAGCGUAUAAUAUUUUUUUGUCACUUUAGUUUUUCAGACUCAGUAUAUAUAUAAAAAAUUUCGACCAAAAAUUAGUGUUGGUCGGGUGACUCUAACACCAAAUAUUUGUGACAUCCUUAUGAACAUAACUAUAAAUUUGUGAAAGUUUUUAAUCAAUUACAGUCUUUAGAAUAGCAUAAUGGAGGAAGAUUUAUGGGGCGUUUCUUUCCUUUCCAUAAUGAAACUUGUGCUUUCCUUUUCAUGGGUGUGUUAGAAUAUUCGAACCUUAAAAAGUCUAAAAAAUAUCAAAGCCAAAUAACAGAAAGAGUUUUUACGGCUGGGUUGCAGGUCACAGGUUAAAAUUUAAAAGGAUGAUGACAUUGCAAAUAAUUUAGCCAUUUAAAGUUUUGUGAUGCAGUGCCAUUAGAAAAUACGUAAUGCAGAAAAAUUAUUCUCUUUUUCUUUAUAUAUUUUGAUAAGAAUAUAUAAAUAUACGCUCUAUGUUUGUGCAACGUAUAUUAAAGUUGAAGUAUUUGAGUUGAAAGUUUGUAUAGGUAUUUAUUAGGUUAUUAGGUAUUUAUUCACCAAUGAUCAAAUGUGGAAAUAUUUCAUACAGACUUUGAGACAAGGUUUAAUUGUCACUUCAAGCGAAACAAAAGAUUGGUAAAACAAGUAAUACCAAAUACUUAUCAAAUACCUUCAAACAAUGGUUUUGUAAGUACAAUAUAGGUGUGAAUAAUUGCCAGUUUCUGAUUUUUUAAUUUAUUUUCUUAUAUCAUCGUGUGCCUGUGGAUAAUUUUAAACCUUGUCCCGGAAUCUUUUUAGUGAGACAUACGGGCAGGUCAAAUUUAUGUGUUGUGGCGCUGCAUCACCGAUAGGGCUACCAAAAUGAUUGUGCAUGUUGAACUUUAAAAAAUAUAGAAAACAAGCUAAAAAUAUAUGAUAUAUAUGUAUUUUGACCUGUGACCUGUGGAAUACACCAGUUGUAGAUUUUUACUUUUUAAAAUUGCGCACCGAAGAGUAAUACAUAAGCUAUGAUCUCCCAUUUCUUUUUGGAAGAAUAUGAUUUUUAUAAACAUUAUUUUGAUACAUCAGGGGAAACACAAAUCUCAAAUUCAAAAGCACUUUGCUUUUGAAUUUGAGAUUUGAGACACCAACAUUUCUUUAUUAUUUUAUAGUUUUAGAAAAUGAGUUCUUGGUUGCAUAAAAGAGCAAAUAAAUGAUUGAUUGCAAUUGUUGGCUUUCCCAAGUUUGUUAAAAUACAUGUAUCAUGAAACGGAAUUAGGGAUUCCUUAUUUCUGUUGUUACUUGUGUUUUUUAAAAAACUGUUUUAGUGCCUACAAAAAUAUAAAAUGCUUAAUUCUAAAAUUGCUCUUGUGUGAAAUUACAAAGAUAUGAAAAAUGAAUAUAAAUUGUAGUUAAUAUGUUUCAAUUUGAUAAUGAAACAGUAUUGUAUUUUUAUUUACUUAAUGCAUCUUGCUUUAUUAAAAUAAGUUUAAUGAAUUUUUAUAUCACUAAUUGAUAGCUAAAUAGAUGUUGUUCUAAGAAUUUUUAAAUGUGAAAAAGAAAGAAGCAACAAAGAACCAUACAAAUAUACAAUACCAAUUAUUAAAUGUAAUUUACAUGUGCCCAAUAGUUAUCACCUUCACACACCUUCGAUAGCAUAACUUUUGUUCUUACUGUUAACCUAUUGUGAAUUACAUAGCUUUUUUUGUACAAGUUUAUUUCUUAUCAUGAUUGUAACAAAGGUUAUGUAAGCUUCACGCAACCCAUUGUUGUAUUUAAUUAUUUUAGUGUAAAGGGUUAAACAAAAAAUAUAUAAGAAUAUAAGGGUAAUUUUGAAUACACAAACAAUAACAUGCAAUGUGUUACAAGUCUUACGUUUUACAGUUAAACCUCUCUAUAACAACCAUCUCUAGUUUUGCCGUCUGUGACAGUUUUUGAUGUUACAGUUAACAAAGCAGCAAACAAAUUAUCAAGAAAACAACGUACUAAAGCAGUGAGCAAUCUUAUAUUGGUGGUGGUUAUAUAUAUAUAUACAGGCCUGUGAGUGCAAUCGCACAUGCUGGAAUGACAAAACUGUGCUAAUAACUCAUUAUACGCCCCUGAGCAGGUUGGUCAAACUCGUCUCUUGCAUUUUUCUGUAGUUUGACUAAGAUAAUGUGGGCUUGGGACGAGGUAGGUAUGACCACGUUAUUCAUGUCCAUCAUAUAAACUAUCUGGCACUAAAGUCUUGUGAAAUGAAUUUUCUUUUCUUUUUGUAAAAAAUAAUCCUUACAAGUAAAUCCUACAAAUAUAUUCAUGAAACAUUAUUACUCCUGACUAAUGAAAAAUUACUCACACAACCUAAAAGUUAGGAUUACGGGUAAUGGAAAGAUUGCCACCCCAAAUUAUGUGGUCUGAGAUAUAUUUAGUUCCUAAAAAUAGUUGUGUUGUAUUAUAGAAAGUAAAACAAUUACUACUUAAUCAGUAUGUAAAAACAGUAUGAUUUUAAUAGCUUUUGUGAUCAUUAACCCUUUUAAUGCAAUGACACACCUGUUACAUGUGUGAACAAAAUCUUUUUGUUGUGACUCAAGCACACAUUUACAACAGAAAGCAAUUAAGUUUAUGCAUAAAAAAGUUUAUAUGUGGAAGUUCUUUAUUUAGACAUGAGACUGUUGCACAUGACAUAUACAUGUGACUGUAGUGUAUGUGCAAAAAAAUUCUAAAAACAAACUUAACUUAUUGAUCAACCAAAAUAUAAAGAUAUUGAAUGAGUUUUAUAAACUCUUGUGUCAGUAAUUAUUUUCUGUUAGAUAUUUCUUUCUAUCAAGUAUUUUUAUCAAACUGGAAUUUAAUUCAUAAUGCUAAUGUAUAUAAGACGUUAAUGCAUAAUAACAUGACAGUCACAGGCUUUGUAUCAAGUGCCUGCUUGGGUAAAAAAUCAAAUUUUAUAUGGAUUAAAGUUUGACAUUUUCAUUAAACUUUCAGGGUGUGGCUACCUGUAGGCAACAUGUUACUCAUACUGGCAUAAACGUUUGUGCUUGUUUGUGCUAGUGAAGGUGCGGUUACAUAUACUACUAUAAAACUCAUGCUGGCUAUAGAAGAUUUUUUCUUCUAUCAGGAAAAAAAUCUUUUUUAUUUAUUUAACACCAAUGGAUUUUUUCGAUGUUAUUAUGCUUAAUGCUCUCUCUUGUUUGUUUACUUCAUUAUCCUAAGUGUGAGCAGAUGUUACGUAUUUCUUAAUUUAAAAACUCGUGUUAUAAAAUAGAUUCUGUAUGUAAAAGGAAUAAAUAUGGUUAUAUACAAUAAAACAGAUAUAAAUUUUUUGGGGGCACUCAAAAUCCCUGUGAUUUCUAAAGUAGGUGAUUAGGUUUCUUUAAAUAUCCUAUAUCUUAAAGUAGGUGAUGAGCAUUAUGCAUAGUAUUUAGGUUAUCAGGGGAGCUGAUCCAGGUCAAUUUGAAUAUUGGCAUACCGAUUUUGAGGACAUCAAAUUUGGGUGCCUAAAAUAGAGAGAUGUAUUUUUUGAAUGCCGAAAAUUAAUUGAUUUAGAGUCUUCAAUCACAGAGAAGAUAUAUUUUCAUAAAGAAUAUGAAACCACUUUUUAAUAAAGAAAGGAACAAAUGUUGUUGCAUUGUUUUAUUUGAAUACAAUUUCAAAAAUUAUAUAAGUUGAAUUACAAAGACCUGCUCAGGAACAAACUCAUAUUUCAAUUUUUAAUGAACAAAACUUUUAACAACACAUACGAAGUACAAAUUUUGUAGUUUGACUCGGAAAUAUCAACAGUUUAGUAGAGAUAUUUUGAGUUUUUAAUUUACAACAAAGGCUGUUUUAACCAAUCUAGAGACCCUACAUAAAGUCUACAAAAAUUAUAACAUAAUAAUAUAAUAAAACAAAGCUGCAGUCAAAUCUGCAUAUAACUGCUGCUUUUGGGAAUUUUUCAGAAGGGAUGUGGCAGUUUUCUCGAAAAUCAUUUAUAACAGUAUUUUAUCUUUAAUAAUAAGGGGACAAAAAGUUUUAGCUUUUUAAGACUGCAACUACUUAAAAAAACUUGGAUGCAUGUAUUAGCAACUAUAUACCUUUUUUUUUAUUUUUGUACAUGUCUAAUUUUUGCAAAGAAUUGCUGCACAAACAAUGAGUUGUUCGAAAAUGCUUUUCGUUUUUUCCCAUGAAAAGUGCAUUUGAAAAGCCAUGUGUAAGUCCUUGUUGAAAUAUAGCUCACGAUUUAAAAUAAAAGAAAUUAGAUGUGCUAGUAAAUUUAUCAAACAGAACUAUUUUUUUCAUUUCAUUGUUGAAUGUUAUAGUUUACAGGUGAUGUUCAGGAAUUCUUUCACCAAUCAUUUGGCAAAAGGAUCUCACAAAUUUAACUUGUUGAAUUAUCAGUAAAAACUGAAAAUUAGUGUGUAGUCACCUUUUAUUAACAAAAGAAAUAAUAAAAUUUGGCAAGAAAUUUUUUUUAAAUUAACAGAAAUAGUUUGUUAUUUGCGAAUAUAGCAAAUCCUUUUCAUUUUUGCAAUUUCGUAAAUUAAUUUCUCAAAAUUCUACCUUUUUAAAGCACCCAAAAUUGUACUGGAAAUUUAAAUAAACUGUCACAGCCCUUGAUAUCAUAAAAACAUUUUAGCAUAUAAUUGUCAACAGCAAACUCGUUUGUAGUCACAAUCAGUCAACAAUUUGUCAACAGAAAAAGGAAAGAUCUGCAGUUUCGCUGAAAUUCUGUAAGACGAGUUGCCCACAAAAAGUGCUUUUUCUAACAUAGAGAAAAAGAAAGCAUUUGUCAAAUGUAUAGAUUAGUCGCCUUCUAUGGCCAUGCAUAAACUUAAGUAAUGCUUUUAUUAUUGCAGAUUAUUAUUUUAUAUUCUUAAUUUAUUAUAAAUAAGUUUUUGUUUGACAAGAAAGAAGUUCCUGAGAGUUACUAAUAUUAUUAAACAUAAAGGAUAGGUUCUGCUUGGAAAAAUUUCAGAGAGUUACUUCCUUUGUUGACUAGCAGAGUCCUGUCAAUUGAGGUAAAAGGUAGGUUGUAUGAGGCCUGUGUAAGAAGUGUUAUGUUGUACGGUAGUGAGACAUGGGCAGUGAAGCAGGAAGAUCUUGACCGUUUAGAAAGGAAUGGUAUGAGAAUGGUUAGGUGGAUGUGUAACGCCAGUCUGAGAGACAGAAAGAGUUCAGAUGAGCUAAGAAGCAGGCUAAGUCUCCGUAGAAUUAAAGAUGUUAUCCAGAUAAGAUUGAAUUGGCUGGGGCACUUGGAAAGAAUGGAGGAGGAUAAUUGGGUAAGAAAGUGUAGAGACUUGAUAGUUCCUGGAGCAAAGCCCAGAGGCAGACUGAGAAAGACUUGGCAGGAGGUUAUAAGGACAGACUUGAUACAGAGGAAGUUGAGUUUAGAUCUAACACAGUCUAGAUCAGAUUGGAAGAGGGUCAUUAAUAUACCCCGUCCAACCCAUGCUAGCAAGGAAAACGGACGUUAGGCCGAGAAUGAUGAUGAUGAUAAAGCAUUUAACUUUA